GGAAUUUUCCGCAAUGGGCGAAAGCCUGACGGAGCAACGCCGCGUGAGGGAUGAAGGCCUCUGGGCUGUAAACCUCUUUUCUCAAGGAAGAAGAUCUGACGGUACUUGAGGAAUAAGCCACGGCUAAUUCCGUGCCAGCAGCCGCGGUAAUACGGGAGUGGCAAGCGUUAUCCGGAAUUAUUGGGCGUAAAGCGUCCGCAGGCGGCCUUUUAAGUCUGCUGUCAAAACGUGGAGCUUAACUCCAUACCGGCAGUGGAAACUGGAAGGCUUGAGUGUGGUAGGGGCAGAGGGAAUUCCCGGUGUAGCGGUGAAAUGCGUAGAUAUCGGGAAGAACACCAGUGGCGAAGGCGCUCUGCUGGGCCAUAACUGACGCUCAUGGACGAAAGCCAGGGGAGCGAAAGGGAUUAGAUACCCCUGUAGUCCUGGCCGUAAACGAUGAACACUAGGUGUCGGGGGAAUCGACCCCCUCGGUGUCGUAGCCAACGCGUUAAGUGUUCCGCCUGGGGAGUACGCACGCAAGUGUGAAACUCAAAGGAAUUGACGG
rnacentral:rRNA from 1 species